UUCUUUAUACAUGUUGAUAAUAACCUCUUAUUUGAUAUGGUAUUUGCAAAUAUUUUCUCCCAUUCAGUAAGUUGGCUUUUUGUUUUGUUGAUGAUUUUCUUUGCUGUGCAGAAGGUUUUUAUUUUGAUGUAGUCCUGAUAGUUUAUUUUUGUUUUUGUUUUCCUUGUCUCAGGAGAUCUGUCUAGAAAAAUGUUGCCAUAGCUGAUGCCAGAGAAAUUACUGCCUGUACUCUCUUCUAGGAUUUUUAUGGUUUUAUGUCUCACAUUUAGGUCCUUAAUCCAUUUUGAAUUUAUUUUGGGGCAUGGUGUAAGAAAGUGGUUCAGUUUCAAUUUUUUUGCAUGUGGCUGUUCAGUUUUCCCAUCACUAUUUUUUGUAGACACUUCUUACUAUUGUAUAUUCUUGCCUACUUCACCAAAGAUUAAUUGACCAUAUAAUUGCGCCCCUGUUUCUAGUUUUAUUCUGUUUUUUUCAAGAUUGCUUUGGCUAUCAGGGUCUUUUGUGGUUCCAUACAAAGUUUAGUAUUAUUUGUUCUAAUUUUGUGAAAAAAUGCUGCUGUAUUUUGAUAGGAAUUGCAUUACAUUUGCAGUUUGCUUUGAGUAGUAUCGAAUUUUAAUAUUUGUUCUUAUAAUCCAUGAGCAUGGAAUGUCUUUCCAUUUAUUUGUAUCAUGUUCAAUUUCUUUCAUCAAUGUUUUAUAAUUUUCAAAAUACAGGUCUUUCAUAUCUUCAAUUAGGUUUAUUCCUAGGUAUUUUAUUGUGUUUGGUACAAUUAUAAAUGAGAUGGCUUUCUUUAUUUCUUUUUUUGCUACUUCAUUAUUAGUGUAUAGAAAUGUAACAUAUUUCUGUAUAUUGAUUUGUAUCCUGAGACUUUAUUGAAUUCAUUUAUGAGUUCUAGUAAUUUUUUGGUGGAGGCUUUAGGAUUUUUCUAUAUAUAGUAUCAGGACAUCUGCAAAUAAUGAAAGUUUUACUUCUUCCUCACCAGUUUGGAUGCCUUUUAUUUCUAUUUUGUAUCUGGUGGUUGUGGCUAGGACUUCCAGUAUUGUUUUGAAUAAAAGUGGUGAGAGUGGACAUCCUUGUCUUGUUCUUGACCUUAGGGGAAAAGCUCUCAGGUUCUCACCAUUGACUAUGAUGUUAGCCAUAGUUUUUUCAUAUAUGGCCUCUAUUGUGUUGAGAUAUGUUCCCUCUAAACCUACUUUGUUGAGUUUUGUUGUUUUUUUUUAAAUCAUGAAUGGAUGUUGUACUUUGUCAAAUGUUGUUUCUGCAUUUAUUGAAAUGAUAUGUGGUUUUUAUCUUUUCUCUUGUUGAUGGGAUGUAUUAUGAUGAUUGAUUUGUGAAUACUGAACCACCCUUGCAUACCAGGAGUAAAUCCCACUUGAUCUUGGUGAAUGAUUUUUUUUUAAUGUAUUGCUAGAUUUAAUUUGCUAAUAUUUUAUUGAGGAUUUUUACAUCUUUGUGUAUUAGAGAUACUGGCCUGUACACACACACUCUCUCUCUCUCUCUCUCUCUCUCUCUCUCUCUUUGUAUUGUCUUUAUCAGGUUUUGGUAUCAGGGUAGUGCUGGCUUUAUACAAUGAAUUUGGAAGCCUCCUUUUUAAUUUUUUGGAAUAGUUUGAGAAUAAGUAUUAACUUUUCUUUAAUGUUUGGUAGAAUUCGUCUGUGAAGCCAUCUGGUCUUGGACUUUUUGUUUGUUGGAAGGUUUUUGAUUACUGAUUCAAUUUCAUUGCUGAUUAUCAGUCUAUUCAAGUUUUCUAUUUCUUUCAGAUUCAGUUUUUGGGACGUUGUAUUUUUCUAAGAAUUUAUCCAUUUCCUCUAGGUUGUCCAAUUUGUUGGCAUAUACUUUUUCAUAAUAUUCUCUUAUAAUCCUCUGUAUUUUCAUAGUGUUAGUUGUUAUUUCUUCUCUUUCAUUUCUGAUUUUAUUUCUAUAAGCCCCCUUUCUCUUUUUUGAUGAGUGUGGCUAAUGGUUUAUCAAUUCUAUUGAUCUUUACAAAGAAACAGCUUCUAGUUUUAUUAAUAUGUUUUUUUUUAGUUUCUAUUUUGUUUAUUCUGCUCUAAUAUUUAUUAUUUCCUUCCUUCUACUGGCUUUGGGUUUUGUUCGUUUUGCUUUUUUUUUUUUUUUUUUUUAGCUUCUUUAGGUAUAAGGUUAGGUUGUUUAUUUGAGAGUUUUCUUGCUUCUUGAGUAAGCUUGUAAUACUAUAAACUUCCCUCUUGAACAGUUUUUGCUACAUCCCUAAAGUUUUGGACUAUUGUGUUUUUGUUUUCAUUUCUCUCCAUGUAUUUUUUAAUUUCCUCUUUGAUUUCUUGCUUGACCCAUUUAUUAUUUAGUAGCAUGUUAUUUAACUUCCAGGUAUUUGUAUUCUUUCAGAUUUUUUCUUGUGGUUGAUUUCUAGUUUCAUAGUUGUGGUCAGAAAAGAUGGAUGGUGUGACUUCAAUCUUUUUGAAUUUGUUGAGACCUGUUUUGUUGUUUAAGGUGAUCUAUACUGGAGAAUGUUCCAUAUGCACUUGAAAAGAGUGUGUAUUCUGCUGUUUUAAGAUGGAAUGAUCUGAAUAUAUAUGUUAGAUCCAUUUGGUCCAAUGUGUCAUUCUAAGCCAUUGUUUGCUCAUUGAUUUUCUGUUUGGAUGAUAUAUCUAUUGAUGUAAGUGGGGGUUAAAAUCCCAUACUGUUAUUGUAUUACUAUUGAUUACUUCUUUUAUGUUUGAAAUUAGCUACUUCAUGUAUUUGGUUGCUUUAAUGUUGGGUACAUAAAUAUUUACAAUUGUUUUACUUUCUUGUUGGAUUAUUCCCUUUAUGAUUAUGUAGUUUCCUUCUUUGUCUUUCGUUAUAGUCUUUUCUCCAAUAUAAGUAUUGCUACCCUGACUUCCUUUUACUUCCGUGUGCAUGACAAAUUCUUUUCCAUCCCUUCACUUUCAAUCUUCAUGUGCCUUUAGGUCUGAAAUGAGUCUCUUGUAGGCAGCAUAUAGAUGGGGUCUUACUUUUUACCCAUUCUGUCACCUUAUGUUUUUUUGAUUGGAGUGUUUAGUUCAUUUACAUGUAAAGUGAUUACUGAUAGGUGUACUUAUUGCCAUUUUUUACCUUUUUUAUGACUGUUUUUGUAGUUCUUUCUUUUCCAUUCUUCUCUUGUUCUUUUCUCUCAUGGUUUGCUGGAUUUCUUUAGUGAUAUACUGGUAUUCCUUUCUUUUUAUUUUUUCAUAGCUAUUACUGGUUUUUGAUUUGUGGUUACCAUUAGGUUUGUAUAUAACAUCUUCUGCAUAUAACAGUCUAUAUUAAGUUGAUGGUCACUUAAGUUUGAACCCAUUCUUUACUGCUCCUUCUCCUUCCACGUUUUAGGAAUUGGUGUCAUAUUUGACAUCUUUUCAUUUUGUAAAUCCUUCGACUGAAUUUUAUAAAUAUACUUAUUUUUCUACUUUUGUGUUUUUACUUUUGUUUCUCUUACUUAUGGUCUUUGUUUCUUUACUUAUGGGAUUUAACAUUCUUUGUAGGGCUGGUUUAGUGGUUAUGAAUUCCUGUAGCUUUUUUUUUCUUUGUUGUUGUUUUUCAGAGAAACUCUUUAUUUGUCCUUCUAUUUUAAUGAUAGCUUUGCUGGAUAGAGAAUUUUUGGCUGUAGGUUUUAUUCUUUCAGCACUUUGAAUAUAUCAUGCCACUCCCUUCUGGCCUGCAAAGCUUCUGCUGAAAACUCAGCUGAUAAACCAGUGGGGUUUCCCUUGUAUAUAACUGCUUUCUUUUCUCUUGCUGCUUUUAAAAUUCUCUCUUUAUUAUUAUGUUUUGCCAUUUUAAUUACUUUAUGUCUUGGAGUAGAUCUCCUUGGGUUGAUCUUGUUUGGAGGUCUCUGUUCCUCUUGGUCUGGAUUUCUGUUUCCUCUCCCAGAUUUGGGAAGUAUUUGGCUAUUAUUUCUUCAAAUAAAUUUUAAGGCCCCUUUUCUCUUUCUUCUGAGAUUCCUAUAAUGUGAAUAUUAUUAUGUUUGAUGGUGUUGCUGAGUUCCCUUAGUCUAUUUUCAUUUUUUUUUUCUCUUCCCUGUUCAGCUUGAUUACUUUCCAUUACUCUGUUCUCAAGGUCACUGAUCCAUUCUUCACUUUUUCUGGUGUACUAUUUAUUCCAUGUAGUGUAUUUUUAAUUUCAGUUAUUGAGUUAUUUGUCUCUGAUUGGUUAUUUUUUAUAUUUCUAUCUCCUUGUUCAGAGUCUCACUGAGGUCCUCCACUUUUCUCCAGUCCAGUGAGUAUCUUUAUGACCAUUAUUUUAAGUUCUCUGUUAAGCAUAUUACGUAUCUCCAUUUGGGCCUCUUGUGGUGAUUUUGUCCUGCUCUUUCAUUUUGGGAUAUUUUCUUCUGCACUCUAAUUUUGUCUAACUCUGUAUCUAUUUCUUUGUGUUGAGAAAGUCAGCGAUGUCUUCUGCUCUUAAAAGCAGUAUUCUCAUGAACAGGAGGUCCUAUAGUGACCCGCAGGGCAAUGUCUUUGUUCAUUAGAACCUGGUGCUUCAGGAGUGUGUCUUUUGUGUGUUGCAUGCAUCUUUCUGUUGUGGUUGUGCUGCUUUUGCCUUCAGUAUAGUUGUCUUCAAUGGCUCUAUUUACCUAUUUGGUCCCUGUGGUGUUAGUGAGCCAGUCUGAGGACAUGUGGGCUUGAAUUGGGUCAGAGUAGGCAUUUGCCAGAGAUGCAAUAGCACCAAACUUCAGGGUGCUUUUUCUGUUCUGUACCCUGAGAAGCUUUCAUUGGUUGGUACAUCCUGCAGUCAAAGCAGAUGUGUGCCCCAGCCCACCACUGCAGCUGCAAUCAGACUGGUGUGUGUAGUUAUCUUCCCUUCUCUCUAGGCAGGGUUCACUUUGGAGUGGUGCUGGCCUUUGUUGUGCUGUUUGCACACUGCCAGACUUAGUGACACUUCUUUGGAUGGGCUCAGGCCAAGAGCAUAUUGGAAGGGGCAGGACUACAGGAAAAAGUGGUAGCAGAGAGGGUGGUAUUAGCAAAUUUUGUGCUGGUCCAAUGGGAGGGAGACCUGGAGCCCCAACCUAGCUGGAGAGGAUGUAUUUGCAGUAGAACACUGGUGCAAGGCAUGUUAGCACGUUAGAUAGCGAGUGUUGGCCCCAUGCUAGUUCCCACGGGUGUUUGUGUGUCUAAGUUUGGGGCCAGGUGAGGGGAAUGGAGUUUGCCAUCUCCUUUGUUCCUGGAGAAUCUUCCAAAGAUCCCUGCCCCUGCAGCACAUGCUCUGAGAUUAUUAAACAAAUCUCCCAUUAUAUACCCCAGGCUGUUUUCAAACUGCUGCUUCUGUGUUGUAGGUCUGUGGGACUGUUUUUUGUGUUGUCUCUUUAAGGCUGGGGACUCAGUUCCCCCUCACCUUCCUAGCUUUCCCAGAGCUAAGCCUGCUAAUUUUUAAAGUUCCCAGUUUUGGCAUACCUGGGUAUCUCAGUUGGUUGAGUGUCUGGCUCUUGGUUUUGGCUCAGGUCAUAUCACAGCUUCGUGGGUUUGAGCCUGUGUCAGGCUCUGUGCUGAUGGGGUGGAGCUUGCUUGGGAUUCUCUCUCUCCUUCUCUAGCUGUCCUCACUCAUGCUAUCUCUGUCGCUCUCAAAAUAAAUAAGUAAACUUAAAAAAAUAAAAAAAAAUGUUAAAAACUUAAAGAAAAACCCUUAAAAAAAUAAAGUUCCCAGUUUUAAGUCCUGUUGAUUGUAAUAACUUGUGAAAUUUGGCCUCUCUAGUUUGCAAAGCCAAACAUUAUGGGGAUUGCCCAUACAGGCUUCCUGUUGUGAGGGUCUGUUUCUUUCCCGUCUCUGAGAUGGUGGUGUCCCUCCUUCCCACACAGUCCCAUAGGUCAUUUAGCUCCCUACUGUGUCUCUGCUCUUCUCUACAUUUGGCUUCUUCUCUACACUGAGCUCUGGAUAAUCUGUUCUUCCAGGCUUUUUGUUGUUUUGUGGGUUAUUUAUACUAAUGCGGGUGUUAUCUAGUUGUAUCCAUGGGACUAGGUGAGUUUAGGGUCCUUUUACUUUGUCAUCUCUCCCAGAAGUCACAAAUUCAUAUUUCUUAUUGUUUAAUUUAUAAGAAUGAUGACUUAAGGUACCCUUUCUAUUGAGUUCCUUUUAUUUUUAACUGCAAUUCUUUUGACUUUGCUUGCUGGUCUUUGAAAUCAUGGAUAAUUUAAGAGGAAUUAAGAAAUCUUUAAUCCCUGAAGUAGUGACAAUGCUACUUGUAUCCAGUUUUCAUCUUUUGCAGAUCUGGCUAAACUCCAGAUUAUUGGAGUAAGAACCAUCCAACCACGUUCAUAUAAGUAUAGCACCUUUAGGUUUGGAUAUAGGGGAUAAUAAGUUGUUAGUUUAAAUAUAAGGAUAACCAUUUCUAGAAUAUAGCAGGUCACUUCCUGGAAUAUUCUUCCUGUUGGAAACAAAAGGCAUCCUCAAAAGUGUGAAGAGAGUUUAAGGAAAGCACCGUUUACUUUUGUGAACACAGUUAAGUGAAAUUAACAAGGAUGGUGAAGGACCCUGGGGCUAGCAACAUCAGGAAGCUAUUACUCCCUCCCCCUCCACCCAUGCCUGAAAGAAAGGAGGAGGCAGUGCCUAUCAGAACUGAGGGAGAGAAAAGCCUGACAAGAGCUGUGGCCUAUAGAAGACGAAAAAGCCAUUGCUGAUGUUUUUCUUCCUGCCCCCUUACCUUCAGUGUCUUCUAUCAACUAAACCCAAACAGAAGCCACAAAAAUUGGAGAUUUCCAGAGCAAAAAAGGAGGGUAAAGCAAGAUAGAGGCAGAAGCUGGUGUGACAGAAUAACCAUCAUAGACUACCUCUGUUGUUUCUUAACAUCCAUUCCUAAUGCUUUGCAUGAAAAUCUUGUGUCCCUAUGCAAGAGAGGAGUGGUGUUAAUUCAGUCACCCUUUCCCUCAGAAAUAUAAAUCAUUAACCAUCACCAGUGUACUUCAUAUAAAGUAGCACAGUCCCCUUACUAUCCGUCAGCACCUUGACUGAGGCUUUUACCUUCUGAGUGACACAACUCCCAGAGUAUGAAUUCUUACUGGUUUUAUAUUUAUUAGACUGUUUUCUAUUAGCCAGGGUACUGGGUAAGGGAGUAGUAAAAGGUGUCCACUGAAUCCCUAAAUUCCAGCCAUAGUCUUCCUUGACCUAAUUAUGAAGCAGAAAACCAAUUUCUCCUUGUUAACUGAUAUCUAUGAGCCAGUUAAUAGGAUGAUGUAUUUUUCUUCCAUUUGUUUUAAUGA